GCGAUGAUCGGUAGCUGGUCUGAGAGGAUGAUCAGCCACACUGGACUGAGACACGGCCCAGACUCCUACGGGAGGCAGCAGUGGGGAAUAUUGGACAAUGGGGCAACCCCUGAUCCAGCAAUGCCGCGUGGAUGAAGAAGGUCUUCGGAUUGUAAAGUCCUUUCGGCGGGGACGAUGAUGACGGUACCCGCAGAAGAAGCCCCGGCUAACUUCGUGCCAGCAGCCGCGGUAAUACGAAGGGGGCUAGCGUUGCUCGGAAUGACUGGGCGUAAAGGGCGCGUAGGCGGUUUGAUCAGUUAGGUGUGAAAUUCCUGGGCUUUAACCUGGGGGGCUGCACUUAAUACGGUCAGACUUGAGUGUGAAAAGAGGGGUCGUGGAAUUCCCAGUGUAGAGGUGAAAUUCGUAGAUAUUGGGAAGAACACCGGUGGC
rnacentral:rRNA from 1 species